UACGUAGGGUGCAAGCGUUGUCCGGAAUUAUUGGGCGUAAAGAGCUCGUAGGCGGUUUGUUGCGUCGGCUGUGAAAUCCCGAGGCUCAACCUCGGGUCUGCAGUCGAUACGAGCAAACUAGAGUGUUGCAGGGGAGACUGGAAUUCCUGGUGUAGCGGUGAAAUGCGCAGAUAUCAGGAGGAACACCGGUGGCGAAGGCGAGUCCCUGGACAACUCCUGACACUGAGGCACGAAAGCUAGGGGAGCAAACAGG
rnacentral:rRNA from 1 species